UUAGAACAUUUAUUUAAACUAUUUUCUGAGUUGGAUACGGUUUUUUAUUUUACUUCAGUUCUGUAAGAGUAGUAGAAAUCCUAAACUUAGCCACUGUUCGCGUCUGGUUUCAGUAUCGGCACGGUUAGCCUGCGUGCUAAAGCUAACGUGUGUUGUUAGAGCGGUUGUGUGUAUGGAGGUUGGGUGUUGUAUCUGUGUGAACGUGUAGCCUAUAGAGUGUUUAUGAUGUGUUUAGACGCGCGUCUGUGUGGCUAAUCAGAGUGAAAUUAAUCUCUGGAUGUUAGGGGUGGAACGGGGAGUUCCAGAGAGCCUAAACUGCCCUGAUAGCAGACUACUCCGAUCCGGAUCCGUUUUACCUCCGGCAGAUCCGCGCUACAGUCAGGUCUGUUUAGUGGAUCUGGUCCGGCUUCACUCCGGGUUCGGGUUAUGAUUGUGACUCACGUUCAGAUCCGUUUUACUGACGGUAAAUCCGCAUAACAGUCCGUCUCAUUUCACGCCUUCCAUAUGACUUCGGCACGGAGUCAGAUACCAGACGUGAGUUCAGUGUCAGUUCAGUGUCGUUUUGCGGAUCCGGGCCGCAUCGGCGGAGCGGCACAGGAGCGGGAGAAAUUCAAACUCAGCGCGAGGACCAACUGACAUCUGCUGAAUCUGCGCUUCAGGUGUAAUCAUUUACCCAUCAAAUCACCUAACAAGGAUCAGCCUGGAUCCUAACAGUACUUGAUGCACUGAGCAGUGACAUUAUACAUAGAGUAGUUAAGCAGGAUUUGGUAUCCGCAAAAUGGUUCGAGGUCCUCAGCCCUCGCCUCCCCCAGCACAGAGGAAAACUACCAAGGGCGGUACUCUCAUUAUAGGAGAUUCAAUUGUUAGACAUUUAAAAGUAUCUAAGAGUAAUGGCACAAUUUCAUGUCUUCCAGAUGCUUGCAUGCUGGUAGUCGGCAAGCGGCUCCCUGGGGCGCAUUGCCAAAGCAGGAACCCCGGCACCAUCGCCCUCCACGUGGGGAUGAGCUUUCGGGAGCGACCGGCCCCGUUCCACAGAGACAGGCUUCUCUCUGUGAACAUCGAGGCGGUGCUACGCUGAGACUGACUGUCUCUACCCAGUCACACCAGCCAAGCUGCACUGUAGUGGUGUUAAGUGUCCAAGAAUGCUCUCAUCAGUGGAGGCACAGCUGGCUGCAAAAAACGUCUGUGUCUGCAUGUUUAUAUUAUGUGAAUUAAAAAUGAUUUUAUUAUUAAAAUAAUUGUAUUAAUGCCUGUUGAUUUAUAAAUUGUU